rnacentral:rRNA from 1 species
UACAGAGGCCUCAAGCGUUAAUCGGAAUCACUGGGCUUAAAGGGUGCGUAGGCGGCGCUGCAAGUGCCUUGUGAAAUCCCAUCGCUUAACGAUGGAACUGCUUGGUAGACUGCAGCGCUUGAGGUUGGUAGGGGCUGCCGGAACUCUAGGUGGAGCGGUGAAAUGCGUAGAUAUCUAGAGGAACGCCCAAGGCGAAGGCAGGCAGCUGGGCCAAUUCUGACGCUGAGGCACGAAAGCGUGGGGAGCAAACGGG